GGUUGUAUUUGAUCCUAGCGUAAAUCCCUAAGUUGGCUUGAAGGUAUAAAUUGGGAAAAAAAACAGCCUUCGGAGAAGGGUUAUCGAGGGGUGGUCCGUGUUAGCAUGGAGUAAGUAUAUGCAGCAGAGGGUUUGGAAUAACAUCGUCAACGUGUUGUCUAAAAUGGAGAUUGAAGGGACCAACUGAACGUCUGAACUGACCAAGUUUCCACAGAUGAUCAGAGGAGUGGUGGGCAAUGGGGAAGACAUCAAAUUCUGGGUGGGCAACGAACUGUUACAAGUGGCUUUCCCGAACCUACUCAGUUUAGAAAGCGCCAUCCAUCCUUGGCUGAGGAACACGAGGAAUGGGAGCUAUACAGAAGGCUAAUGCGUUGGGUGGGACGACAGGGUAACAAUGACUCUUGGUUGUGGGUGGGUGAUUCUUUAGGUAACUUUUCAGUAGGCUCCGUUAAAAAGUAAUCUGAGCCAUUUAUACGUACGUGAUGGAUUGGUGCAAGUGGGUACCAAGUGACAUGUUUUUGCAUGGAGGUGGAAAUGAAUUGGCUUCCUACUUUGGAGGCCUUAAAGCAAAGGAAACAUUCAAGUUACUUCACAACAUGCACAUUAUGUGAGGCAGAAUGAUCACAUUUUUACAGGUUGCAAAGUGGCUACUGUGGUGUGGCAGUUCAUCGGUAGGUGGUGUCAGGUCCCAUAGAUGAUAGAUAUUUAUCUUGGAUGCAUCCCGUGUUAACUGAUCCCAAGUCAAAUGGUUUAUCUUCCAUUUUUUUCUCACGUGCGUGUUUCUUAUGUAUGGAUAUGAUACACACAUACCGGCUAUGGUUGUUAUAUAACCCACAAUUACCCUGCUAACUAGUGGGACCAGAUAGAACGCAGCUUACGCUAGGCAAGUGGCCUACAAGAGGUUUAAGGCAAUAUGAUACUUAUAGAUAACACAUAGAUUGCUUCAUUAGGAUCGAUUAAUUGCUUCAUUAGAAUCGAUUAUAAACUACUGUUCUGAGUCUGUGUGGGUGUGUUUAUUUAUUUUUUUAUUUUCUAUCUUUGGUGUUUCAUUUAAGCUUCUGUAGUUAUAUCAUGGACUACCCAUAUUGAUAUAUGCAGGUAUGAACCUUUAGGGUCCAUGCAUGGGCAAGAGUACCUUCUCCCUCAUGGCCGGCCCUGAGGGUGGGCGGGGGAACCACCGGCCAGAGUCCGAUAUUUCAAAGGGCACAUUAUUUUUUUUUAAAAUCGAUAUUUAUAUGUAAAAAAAAAAGUAAACUAAUAGGGUAUACCCAUAUAAACACCAACAUAGGCCCGCUUACAAAAUUAUUUUUCUGGUUUAGAUUAGUUAUUAGUCCAUUGUCAUUAGGUUUAGAUCGCCUAAUACCCAAUUGCGUUAAGGCUUAAGGGCACGUUUUUUCGAGUUCGAACAGGGUAUACGAAUUCUCGGGGACGGCUCUGUUCUCCCUGCCAAUGGUCCAAUAUAAAAUACACGAAACUGUGAUCAUUUAGAUGUGGAGUGGAAAGGUUGCAUCAUAGUGAAUUUGUUACACAAACGAAGAUUGAGACCAAUUGUAAAUCUUUCAAGGCUAAACCUGCUAAUAUAACAAAUAUAAUAAUCAUAUAAAUCAUGUUAACGGUUAUCUGGAUCCUCAGCAACUACAUUCUUCUUUUCAUCCACAGCUAAAGUCUCACUCAUAGACUCACUACUUUCUUUAACCAAGUCAGCAUUGACCACUGUUGUUAUAUCUGGAUGAUUUUCACCUGAUUUCUUUAGUUUAUUCACACGGUGGCGAUUUGUUGGUGAAGAUUUCAUAUUAUUAGGAAUGCUGAUAUCUGAAGAAUUUUCGCCUGAUUUCGUUUGUUUAUUCACGUGAUGGUGGUUUGUUGGUGAAGAUUUCGUAUCAGGGGUGUUGAUACCUGAAGAAUUUUCGCCUUUAUACAGCGUGUGGUGAUGUGUCAUUAACGAUCUCAUAUUCGGGCUAUUGGUACACGUAGAGGUUUCGUCCACAUUCCUUGGUUUAUUCAGCGCGUGACAAUGUGGACAAUAAUUGCACAAAAGGGUAGCAAACCCUUCUUUUCUGUUGACCAUGACCCGUUAACGGUAAGCUCACGGGACCGUCAAAUACCCUACUAACCAAUGAGAUUAAGUCAAAUGCAACUUGCGAUGAGCUGGAUUUGAACUUGAGACCUCUGCUAAGGGGACUCGGGCUACAAGCACUUACCAUUAGGGUUGAAAAUGAACUAAACGUUCAGCGAACAAUUCGUGAACCGUUCGACGGGAAGUUCGUUUGUGUUCGUUCGUGUAAUAACUGAACGAACAAGAAAUUCCGUUCGUUUAGCUAAAUGAACGAACGUGAACAGAGGCUGCGUUCGUUCGUUUAUGUUCGUGAACGUUUGGUAACGUGUUCGUUUGUGUUCGAUAGCUCAUUAGUAAUUUCAAUUUUUAUAUUUUAUUUAAAUACUUCAAAAAUCUGACAAAUUAAAUAUUUAAUAAGUAUCAGUGGAGUAUAUAUUUUGUUCGU
rnacentral:lncRNA from 1 species